rnacentral:rRNA from 1 species
UAGGGAAUCUUCGGCAAUGGACGAAAGUCUGACCGAGCAACGCCGCGUGAGUGAAGAAGGUUUUCGGAUCGUAAAACUCUGUUGUUAGAGAAGAACAAGGACGUUAGUAACUGAACGUCCCCUGACGGUAUCUAACCAGAAAGCCACGGCUAACUACGUGCCAGCAGCCGCGGUAAUACGUAGGUGGCAAGCGUUGUCCGGAUUAAUUGGGCGUAAAGCGAGCGUAGGUGGUUUCUUAAGUCUGAUGUGAAAGCCCCCGGUUCAACCGGGGAGGGUCAUUGGAAACUGGGAGAGUUGAGUGCUGAAGAGGAGAGUGGAAUUCCAUGUGUAGCGGUGAAAUGCGUAGAUAUAUGGAGGAACACCAGUGGCGAAGGCGGCUCUCUGGUCUGUAACUGACGCUGAGGCUCGAAAGCGUGGGGAGCAAACAGG